AUUGAACGCUGGCGGCAUGCCUAACACAUGCAAGUCGAACGGUAACGCGAAGAGCUUGCUCUUUGGCGACGAGUGGCGGACGGGUGAGUAAUACUUAGGAAUCUACCCAGUAGCGGGGGGACAACUCGGGGAAACCCGAGCUAAUACCGCAUACGCCCUACGGGGGAAAGCAGGGGAUCUUCGGACCUUGCACUAUUGGAUGAGCCUAAGUCCGGACUAGCUAGUUGGUAGGGUAAAGGCCUACCAAGGCGACGAUCCCGUAGGCUGGUCUGAGAGGACGAUCAGCCACACUGGGACUGAGACACGGCCCAGGACUCCUACGGGAGGCAG
rnacentral:rRNA from 1 species